CGCCAGACUCCUACGGGAGGCAGCAGUGGGGAAUAUUGGGCAAUGGGCGCAAGCCUGACCCAGCAACGCCGCGUGAAGGAAGAAGGCUUUCGGGUUGUAAACUUCUUUUAAGAGGGAAGAGUAGAAGACGGUACCUCUUGAAUAAGCCACGGCUAACUACGUGCCAGCAGCCGCGGUAAUACGUAGGUGGCAAGCGUUGUCCGGAUUUACUGGGUGUAAAGGGCGUGUAGCCGGGCUGACAAGUCAGAUGUGAAAUUCCGGGGCUCAACCCCGGACCUGCAUUUGAAACUGUUGGUCUGGAGUAUCGGAGAGGCAGGCGGAAUUCCUAGUGUAGCGGUGAAAUGCGUAGAUAUUAGGAGGAACACCAGUGGCGAAGGCGGCCUGCUGGACGACAACUGACGGUGAGGCGCGAAAGCGUGGGGAGCAAACAGGAUUAGAUACCCGAGUAC
rnacentral:rRNA from 1 species